rnacentral:rRNA from 1 species
CUAACCUGCCCACUGAUUUAUUAAAGGGCCGCGGUAUAUUGACUGUGCAAAGGUAGCAUAAUCAUUUGUCUUUUAAUUGAAGGCUGGAAUGAAUGGUUGAAUGAAGUAUUAACUGUCUCAUUUUAAAAAAAAUAAAAAUUUAAUUUUUUAGUCAAAAAGCUAAAAUAAAUUUAGAGGACGAGAAGACCCUAUAGAUCUUUAUAAUAAAAUUUAAUAAAAAUUUUUAGAAUAAAAAAAAAAUUAUUAAAUUAAAUUAUUUGGUUGGGGUGACAGGAAAAUUUAAUAAACUAUUUUUAUAUAAGAACAAUAAUUUUUGAAUAUUUGAUCCAAUUUUAUUGAUUAAAAAAUUAAGUUACCUUAGGGAUAACAGCGUAAUUUUUUUAGAGAGUUCAUAUCGAUAAAAAAGAUUGCGACCUCGAUGUUGAAUUAAAGGU